rnacentral:rRNA from 1 species
GACGAACGCUGGCGGCGUGCUUAACACAUGCAAGUCGAGCGGAAAGGCCACUUCGGUGGUACUCGAGCGGCGAACGGGUGAGUAACACGUGAGUAAUCUGCCCCUGGCUUUGGGAUAGCCACCGGAAACGGUGAUUAAUACCGGAUAUGACAGCUUCUCGCAUGAGUGGUUGUGGAAAGUUUUUCGACCAGGGAUGUGCUCGCGGCCUAUCAGCUUGAUGGUGAGGUAAUUGCUUACCAUGGCUUCGACGGGUAGCCGGCCUGAGAGGGAUACCGGUCACACAUGGACAGACACAAGGCCCAGACUCGUACGGGGAGCAGCAGUGGGGAAUAUUGGACGAUGGGCGGAAGCCUGAUCCAGCAACGCCGCGUGAGGGAUGACGGCCUUCGGGUUGUAAACCUCUUUCGCCUGUGCCGAAGCGCAAGUGACGGUAACAGGUAAAGAAGCACCGGCCAACUACGUGCCAGCAGCCGCAGUAACAC